rnacentral:lncRNA from 1 species
CCCCGAUCAUCACUCCUUCAUUUCCAAUUCAUACAGUGUUAAUUUUUCUCUUUUCGAGGAAAAUGGUUACAAGGUAACUAUCAUUUUCAUUAAAAUAUGAAAAUAGCACAAAGAAGUAGGCCUAACAAAAGAGCAUAUGAAAUAAAGAUGUUAAAAAUUUUGUUAUUGUCAAUUAUUUCCUCCAAUAUUAAACACAUAUUGAUUAUAUUAUUUUCUAAAACUAUCUACUUUCUCUACCACAUUUACAUGCAGCUAACC